rnacentral:rRNA from 1 species
GACGAACGCUGGCGGCGUGCCUAAUACAUGCAAGUAGAACGCUGAAGGAGGAGCUUGCUUCUCUGGAUGAGUUGCGAACGGGUGAGUAACGCGUAGGUAACCUGCCUGGUAGCGGGGGAUAACUAUUGGAAACGAUAGCUAAUACCGCAUAAGAGUAGAUGCUGCAUGACAUUUGCUUAAAAGGUGCAAUUGCAUCACUACCAGAUGGACCUGCGUUGUAUUAGCUAGUUGGUGUGGUAACGGCUCACCAAGGCGACGAUACAUAGCCGACCGGCGAGGGGGGUCGGCCACACUGGGACUGAGACCCGGCCCAGAGGCCUACAGGAGGCAGCAGGAGGGAUUCUUGGGGAAUGGGCGGAAGACUGACCGAGAAACGCGGAGGGAGUGAAGAAGGAUUUCGGAUCGGAAAGCUCGGUUGUAAGAGAAGAACGAGUGUGAGAGUGGAAAGUUCACACUGUGACGGUAUCUUACCAGAAAGGGACGGCUAACUACGUG